rnacentral:rRNA from 1 species
GAUGAACGCUAGCGAUAGGCUUAACACAUGCAAGUCGAGGGGCAGCAUGAUCUUAGCUUGCUAAGGUCGAUGGCGACCGGCGCACGGGUGCGUAACGCGUAUGCAACUUGCCUUACAGAGGGGGAUAACCCGUUGAAAGACGGACUAAAACCGCAUACACUUGUAUUAUUGCAUGAUAUUACAAGGAAAUAUUUAUAGCUGUAAGAUAGGCAUGCGUCCCAUUAGCUGGUUGGUGAGGUAACGGCUCACCAAGGCGACGAUGGGUAGGGGAACUGAGAGGUUUAUCCCCCACACUGGUACUGAGACACGGACCAGACUCCUACGGGAGGCAGCAGUGAGGAAUAUUGGUCAAUGGGCGAGAGCCUGAACCAGCCAAGUCGCGUGAAGGAAGACAGUCCUAAGGAUUGUAAACUUCUUUUAUACGGGAAUAAACGGGCGAUACGAGUAUUGCAUGAAUGUACCCUAA